rnacentral:rRNA from 1 species
UACGGAGGGUGCAAGCGUUAUCCGGAAUCACUGGGUUUAAAGGGUGCGUAGGCGGCUUGAUAAGUCAGGGGUGAAAGCUUCCCGCUCAACGGGGGAACUGCCCUUGAUACUGUCAGGCUUGAAUUGGGUUGAGGCUGGCGGAAUGUGGCAUGUAGCGGUGAAAUGCUUAGAUAUGCCAUAGAACACCGAUUGCGAAGGCAGCCAGCCAAGCCUUGAUUGACGCUGAGGCACGAAAGCGUGGGGAGCGAACAGG